CCCCAAAUAAUGCUUCCCAUAAUAUGGUACCUAGCUUUGCAGAGAUCCAGAGACGGAUGGAUAUGAAUUCAUCAAAUCCGGACGGUAUACGUAUAUAUCUCUGUUUAAUUUUUCAUUUAUAUCAUACAGUAACAAUUUUCUGGUGUUUUAAACCCCAACCCUCUUUUUACUGUUUAAAACCCUAAUUCACGUGCUUCUUCUUUAGAAUUCAUUGGUUUCUUUAUUCAUCGCAGUUAGUUCAUAGUAUCACUUAUCACCAUUAGAGAUAGGUUGGAUUUUUUUUCUUUCUGUUUUCCAUUGUGAAUUAAGUCAAUGGGUAUAUAUAAUUGUAUCAGUUAAUUUCGAAAUUGAUACAUAUAGAUAUGGUGUAUGGGUUAAAAUCAAUUGCUAACACCUACUUUGAUGUUGUUAUGGUAUGUCGUAUGUUUUCAUACUUCUCCAAUCUUGUCUAAUGUUUGUACAUCUUUCCAGUAAAUAUCAAAUACGUCUCUUUUCUUGGAAAAUUGUAGUGUUGAAGUGUGUUAACUACUUGGAUCGGAUCAUUUCAGGAUAUGUUAAUGGAGUCCCCAAAGGCAAAUGUUCCAAGAGCUGCACCACUGAACAUGUCUGCUUACUCUCAUUCAGCAGGUGGACCGCAAUGAUCUGAUAUCAUGUGAAGUUGGUGCAACUCGGGCAGCUGUUGAUGCAAGGUUUGUUCCUAAUAAAGUCCAGGUUGGUCAAACUGGAAAAAUUGUGGCUCCAAAGCUGUACAUGGCAUUUGGGGUUUCUGGAGCCAUCCAAAAUUUGGCAGGCAUGAGAGACUCUAAAGUCAUUGUUGCCGUAAAUAAAGAUGCAGAUACACAUAUUCCAGGUUGCUGAUUAUGGUCUUGUAGCUGAUAUCUUCGAAGCGAUACCAGAACUGUUA